CCCCGCGUUAUAAAUAAAAUACAUCCUCGUCAAUAUUUCGGUUUCGGAUUGUCCGUAAAACAUCUCUUGUAUCAAUCAGCAACCUCAUUCGGGCAGUAUAAUGGCUGUUGGUUCUUUUGUCAUUUUCUGGAUUCAAGUGAUGUUUCUUGGAGGCAAUUAUUCAGUGCUAGUGCUCUGGAUAAGUAAUGUAAUACAGGCAUGGAAAUUUGAAGGACUCCCGGAACGUUACCGCAGAUAAUAGAAUUUCCAAUUCGUUGUGCUAACAGGUGCCAACCAAACAAAUUUAACAUUUGUCAGCAAAAUUGAUUGUGUGCGCACCAAAAAUGCACUUUACGUUCACAAACGUACAGAAAAACAUCCUAGAGGACCAAAAAAUACACGUUCAUGAUAAAAAUGGGAAAAUGUAUACCAAUCCAACACGGUAGCAUCGCAAAUUAAGAAUCAACCGUCGUUUAAUGACUUUAACAGCAAAUCCUAUCACAAGUUUCAUCAUCAGGCGGCUUGGGAACCAAGUCCAGCCAUUCGCAGGGCGGACUGUUCUUAUAAUACAACUUUAAUGGUGGAAUGUAUGCUACAUCUCCACAACUAUGUGGUGAUACUUCGGGAAAAUCGAAGGCAAUGGUAUCAUUUCCGCCAAAGACGUCGUGCACAUCUCGUAUAAAGUUGCCCGCUACGUUCUCCGCACAAUCUUCAGCAGGUCCCUGCGAUAACAGGACAUCAAAGCUAAAGUGGCCAGCUUGAUCGAAGUGCUUUGAUUAAAAGAUUGCAGCCCACCAAUAUGGACCAUUGGA